GCUGGAGAUCCUUAUGUACCUGAGGCCUUCUGAAGUUUUCUUCUUGAGUGGAAUUUUGGUUCAGAACAGCAUUGCCUCCUGAUAAAUCCGAGUCCUUAGAUGAUCCCUCUUCAAGCAACCAAUUUGGAUAAAGUUGAGAAAGUGCUUAAGCGAGCCGAAGCUUAUCUCAUUUUCAACAGUCAAUUCAGAGUCUAAAGUCUCAUGGAAAAAAUCAGCAAAACUCAAGGCUCCUUAAUUAAUGAGGUGCUUUCAUAAAUUUUCCUCUUUGGUGGAAUUCUUUUCUGACAAGAGAAAAAUGUGGUGUUGAUGAUGUCUCAAGCCCUAAGAAGGGAUAAAAAAACUUGUACAAGGCUCUUCCCACACUCAAGGACGUUUACAUCUUUUUCAUCUGCUUGCUGUCUAGCACACUGAAGUGUCCUGCUACAGCUGGGGUACUCUCUAUCAGCUGGGAUCUUUAUCAUCUGGAAAAGUUUUACCAUUCUUCUGAUGGAAAACCUUUAUCCAGCCAUCAUGCAGAAAGGAUAUUUUAUGAUACUGCAAAGUGUUCUGCCAAAGCUUGUGCCAGAGUUGCUUGUCUUUAGAAGCUCAAGGGCACACAACAGCUUUUUGUGUGGGCCAUUGAGGAGAGCCUCCAUCUUCUCCCUGUUUUUUUUCAUUGUUUUCAACUUUAAAUCUCAAAGUGAAUAAAAAUUCUUCCUGAUCUGCAGGCCGUAGCUUAAUUUGUAUUUCAUAGGUGGGUAGAUGCCCUGCUCUUAGGAGUGUAUUACCCAUUUCUUUCUUCUGAGAGCUAUGGGAAGUCCUGGAGCAGCUCACAGGCAGGAGAGAAGCAGAUGUCCCUUGAUGCAUCAGCUGAUCAGUAAAGGACAGGGCAGUCAGCAGGCUUUUGUCAUUGCUUGGCAGUGCCAGCAUAGCUACCUCUGCCUCAGCCAGCCCAGACCCAGAUUCUAUGACAGCAAUGUUUCAGGUAGCUUACUGACUGUCACAGAGCACAGCUUGGAGCUGGGUCUCAACUGCUCAUGCACAGCCACUGGACCAUGUACAUGGCACAAACAAUUUGCUUCUACCUAAGACAUCUCUCCUUGGCAAGACUACAAAUAAUCACCUCUUAGCACAGGAAUAAUAAUGAAAUUAUCAAUUUCUUGAACAUUUUGGAAAUAGUACAUAACCCUUACACCCGCUUUCUUUGUCUCAGUGCUUCCAACUGAAGGAAGAGCACUACUAAAUUAGACCAGGUCUUGAUGCUGCUGCUACCUCAAUGUAGUAGCUACAAGAUCUCCAUAGAAGUAAUCAGCUCUCAUAUUAGUUGGCAAAGUGGUGGGUUAGCAUUGCAUACAGCAGCUCCUUUUCACUCAAGCUUCCAUGUAGGAUGCUGGUAGGAAAGAGGUAGAUAGCUAUGAUAGGAUAGGACAGAUGCUGUGUAGCACAGGAUGGGUAGAGCAGAUGCAGGUAAUAACUGAGAUUCUACCCUGGCUUUUGUGUACAUCAGGACUUUUUAUUUGUUUUGUAUCUGUAUAUUAUCUGGUGUAAUUGGGUCCUGAUCUGUGGGCAGGGUUCCGUAACACAAACAAAUACCACCAUGACUAAUGACAGACCCUUGUGUAACUGCCCCAAACUUGAUGAAAGUUGUGAGUGGUCUGAGUCAGUGCCAUUGUGUAAAGGGAUAAUUUCUGCUUUGGCAGUGUUGUGACCAGCUGGAAUUGUUCUCUCUGAUAAUUGCCAAUCUGGAUUUCUCCCAGAUGGCAGCAUCUCAUAAAGAGUAUCUGUGAAGAGCUGUGAUCCACUCUUUAUUAAGGCUCCACGAGAGAGCUGUUCAUCCCUGUCACCCCUUGUCCGUUGCCUCAGGCAGGUCUCCUGUCAAUUUGCAGAACAAGUCAUUGCUCUGUGUUUAUUUUUCCUUUUUAUUUUAUUCCUUUUUAGAAACUUGUAUUUAUUACCUUGGCAGCAAGCCAACCAGCAAGGAACAAACUGUUUUGUGGCAGGAAAGAUGAGACAUUCUGCCUUGGAUCAGCCUAAAGCAAUGCCCCCUGAUCUUCACUGUGCUGUCUUCUAACCCCCCAGGUUGCAUUUAACGAGGUUGCAUUUCCCUGAGACUUGUUUCUUCAGCAGCAAGAGGGUAAAAGAAGAGCUUAUUCUGCGUGUCUGUCCAAGGCUCCUUGUGCCCAAACCUUUCUACAGCAUGCUCCCAUUUAACACGCAGGAUAUCCCACAGCUUUACCAGACAUAUUGAGUGGUUGGCAGCGUAGAUCUGGCUGGUGGUCUUUGUUUCUCCACAUCACAGAAACUGAAGGGAGGAGAACUUCCUGUGAGAGCUCAGAGGUGGAGGAGUGAAGGAUCUAGGACAGCUCAAUGCUACUCAUCUCCCCCCUGCAAAUUCUUUGAUCUUUCUGAAUGCAGAGAGAAGAGUGUUGCUAUAGAAACCAAUGGGGAAAAUGUACAUUUUAUCACAUUUUAUAUCUUGUUCUAAGGAGACCCUUUAAUCUUAGCCCGCCACGAUGUAUUUUUACAGAAACAAUAUUGCUAAUAAAAACCCUAAGAGUAGUAGCAGCAAUAUCAAAUCAAAUGAAAUAAUCAUCACUUAUUUCAAAAACACUUCUGCUCAUAACCCUCAACCCUAGCCAAGAUGCUGGGAGAGGGAUAGAAAGAUUAGCUAUGGCAUGGAACGUGAGAGGAAGAUACAACUAAGGCAGCAAAAAAUGUGGUAGAAGAUGAGGCUGUGUGUGGGUCUGAUGUGGCAAGAAGAGGUUAACAUUUGAAGAAGGGCAAAGUCUAAGUAAACUAUCGUCAGACUUCGUUUGUGUGUAAUGAAACAUAAAAUAGGGUGAAAGCUGCAUUUCUUAAUGUACAGCCAAAUCUACCUUUCCUUUACUCACCCAUCCUCCUAGUGCCACACUGGGGUCUCAAGGAGACAAUGCUGUUUGUGUGAUUGCACCCUGAAAGACUUUUUCUAGCACCAGUCUGGCCUAGUGGCAGCAGUCCUCCUGGGGAUCCUUCAGGACAGAAACCUAAUUUAGUCCUCUGGAUGUCAAAACAGGCUUUCACUCUGCCCUUCCCACCCUCAAUUUAUUCUUUUCUUAAUUCACUGUGACCAUUAUUUCCUUCCUGAUUUGUUCUGACCCUGUGGCUUAAUUAGAUUUUCCUCAUUUUUUUAUGGUAGCUUCUAUAAUGUGUUGAGUUGUAAUUUCGAGACAAGGACUUUUUCACUGUGUAAAGCACUGUACAAAAUUAAUCUCAGCCCUGUCUUAUUCCAGGGCUAUGACUGAUCCUAAGUUGGUUAUAUGUCUCUGCUCCUUGCUCUGAUACAGGGUACACAAAACAAAACAAAAAAAACCUGAGGCUUUGGUUCACUAAUGUUAGGUUUUAUAGACUGCAGU